rnacentral:misc_RNA from 1 species
GAUUUGUGAAGGUUAAGACAAAUUGAAAGGUUGAAGAUAUGGGUAAUCUUUUUUGUUGUGUGCAAGUGGACCAAUCCACUGUAGCUAUCAGGGAGAGGUUUGGUAGGUUUGAGGAAGUUCUUGAGCCAGGAUGCCAUUGUUUGCCUUGGUUUCUUGGAGCCCAGAUUGCUGGCAAUCUGUCUCUCCGGUUGCAACAAUUGGAUGUGCGAUGUGAGACCAAGACAAAGGAUAAUGUGUUCGUCAAUGUGGUUGCCUCUAUUCAA